GGAUAAUCUGCCCUCAGGUGAGGAAUAAUCCCGGGAAACUGGGGCUAAUGCCUCAUAGGAGACGGGUGCUGGAAUGCUCUGUCUCCGAAAGGUCCGCCGCCUGAGGAUGAGUCUGCGUCCGAUUAGGUUGUUGUUGGGGUAACGGCCCAACAAGCCUUUGAUCGGUACGGGUUGUGGGAGCAAGAGCCCGGAGAUGGAUUCUGAGACAUGAAUCCAGGCCCUACGGGGCGCAGCAGGCGCGAAAACUUUACAAUGCGAGCAAUCGUGAUAAGGAAACCCUGAGUGCCUGUCAAUGCAGGCUGUUCUGGUGUCUAACACACACCAGGAGAAAGGGCGGGGCAAGACCGGUGCCAGCCGCCGCGGUAAUACCGGCUGCUCGAGUGAUAGCCACUUUUACUGGGCUUAAAGCGUUCGUAGCUUGGUCGUUAAGUCUCUGGGGAAAUCUUUUGGCUCAACCAAAAGGCGUCUCAGGGAAACUGACGAUCUUGGAACCGGGAGAGGUAAGACGUACUUCGGGGGUAGGAGUGAAAUCUUGUAAUCCCCGAGGGACGACCGAUGGCGAAGGCAUCUUACCAGAACGGCUUCGACAGUGAGGGACGAAAGCUGGGGGAGCAAACCGGAUUAGAUACCCGGGUAGUCCCAGCCGUAAACGAUGUGCGUUAGGUGUGUCUGUGACCACGAGUCGCUGAGGUGCCGAAGGGAAACCGUGAAACGCACCGCCUGGGAAGUACGGUCGCAAGGCUGAAACU
rnacentral:rRNA from 1 species